GAUGAACGCUGGCGGCGUGCCUAAUACAUGCAAGUCGAGCGAACAGACGAGGAGCUUGCUCCUCUGACGUUAGCGGCGGACGGGUGAGUAACACGUGGAUAACCUACCUAUAAGACUGGGAUAACUUCGGGAAACCGGAGCUAAUACCGUAUAAUAUAUUGAACCGCAUGGUUCAAUAGUGAAAGACGGUUUUGGUGUCACUUAUCGAUGGAUCCGCGCCGCAUUAGCUAGUUGGUAAGGUAACGGCUUACCAAGGCGACGAUGCGUAGCCGACCUGAGAGGGGGAUCGGCCACACUGGAACUGAGACACGGUCCAGACUCCUACGGGAGGCAGCAGUAGGGAAUCUUCCGCAAUGGGCGAAAGCCUGACGGAGCAACGCCGCGUGAGUGAUGAAGGUCUUCGGAUCGUAAAACUCUGUUAUUAGGGAAGAACAAAUGUGUACGUAACUAUGCACGUCUUGACGGUACCUAAUAAGAAAGCCACGGCUAACUACGUG
rnacentral:rRNA from 1 species